AUCAAUUGAAUUAACAAAAGAAGAGGGAUUUAGGGUUAAAGGUUUACGUGAAUUGGAACUCGUUUGAGACUCAGACUCGCCUUCCUCCUUCUCAUGAACGAACGGUGGCGCCGGGAGAGGCUUCUUCUUCUCCGGCGAGCUCCUCUUCCCUCCGCCAUAAACAAAAACAAACGAAACUCCACUCCUCCGACGUCCUGCUCACUCAUCUCGCUUCUCAAACUCUCCGAUUUCGAAUCUCCGUCUCAAUUCAAGCUAAUAGAACUCCACACGGGCUCGAUAACGACAAGAACAAACAAGAAUCCGGGGAUGAGGCACAUGGCUUACUAAUCAGAGACGAGUCUGAUGCUUUUUCGAGCGCGACAACGAGAAAUUCAGAGAUAAAAUGAUUCAGGUAUAUUGAAGAUUGAAGGAAAUGAUGUGAUGCUGCGUUGAUGUUAAUGAUGUGGCGGAUGAAGAUCUGUGAAGAUUGAUAAUGGAUUGUGUAGUUGUUUUUUGUGAAUUGAAGAUGGAGAUUAUUGAAGAAAAGUGAGCACGGUUCAGAGAGAGUUCUGGAAAUUGUGGAGAUUUCUGAAGAGUUUGUUACAGGUUUGGUUUUCACUUGGUUUGGAGCUGCGGUUCAAUUGGUCUUCUUCCGGCGCCGACUCGGUUUAUUUGUAUAGCACGGAGGCUGGUUUAUUUUCUGGUUUACUCAUGCAGCAGUAGUUUUGGUUACGGUUUAAAUUGUGUCACGGUUAGCGAUUGGCUUGGGAUAUGCAGGAUUUAUUUCUUUGGACUGAUGUAUUCAGUACAGGUUGAAGGUUAAAGGACUUUUGUAAUUGUGGAUGAACUUGAAUGUUGUAAUUGUAAACUUGGACUUUGAACAUGUAAAUUUGAACUUUUUGUAAUGAACUCUUGACUUUUUGAAUAUGUAAUGGCAUGAUCUCCUUUUGGGGAAUUUUCAUUUGUGA